rnacentral:rRNA from 1 species
CCUACGGGUGGCAGCAGUGAGGAAUAUUGGUCAAUGGCCGUAAGCCUGAACCAGCCAAGUAGCGUGAGGGAAGACUGCCCUAUGGGUUGUAAACCUCUUUUAUGCGGGAGCAAAGGUGUCCACGUGUGGAUGUUUGCAGGUACCGCAUGAAUAAGGACCGGCUAAUUCCGUGCCAGCAGCCGCGGUAAUACGGAGGGUCCGGGCGUUAUCCGGAUUUAUUGGGUUUAAAGGGAUCGUAGGCCGGUAGUUAAGCGUGCGGGGAAAUUUUGUGGCACAACCAUGGAAGUGCGGGUGGAACUGGAGUCCUUGAGUGCGGGGAAGGCAGGCGGAAUGCGUGGUGUAGCGGUGAAAUGCUUAGAUAUCACGAAGAACCCCGAUUGCGAAGGCAGCAUGCCGGAGCGUAACUGACGCUGAAGCUCGAAAGCGGGGGUAUCGAACAGGAUUAGAUACCCGGGUAGUC